AUCUCCUCCAGCAAGACCAUCCUUGACCAGCUGGAUAUGGCUCACAGGCUGGAGUUCAGGCUGAUCCUGACGCAGAAAUUUGCAUGUGACAUCCGUGUCAUUAGGUUUUUGAGGGAGAGGACGCUGGGAAACAGCCCCACACGUUUGGUUAAACAGCUGAAAGAAAACCACAGCGAGGAGUGGCUGAAGCGCCUCUGCCGAUAUCUUGGGGCAUGCUCUGACUUUGCAGCUCGGCCCAGCUUGCUCCCCGUCACAUUCCAGGAGCCUCUGAGCCAGUAGCAGUACCAAGUCACCGCUGGAUGUUGGCUCUGUAUGGGCCAGACAUUUUGAGCAGGCUGGACCACAUUAAAACCACAAUAACGUCCACAUUUGGCACCAUCCUGAAAAUGGACUCCACCAAAAAGAUCACCAAAAAACUGUCUGGCGUUGCCAGAGGGACUGGUCUGUGGCUCUCAUCAGUGAGUAAUGAGGUGGGCCAAAUCCUCAUCAGUGUCUUGACUGCUCAGGAGGGUCCUGGGCUCCACAUGAUGGCUGCUGGGCUCAUCCGGCGCUACAGUGA